GAGCAUCCCCAACCGUUUUGCAUAAUUGGUUUGGCAAAUGAGGGAGUUUGCCAAGUCUCAAAAAAAUAUGGCAAAAGUGAAAAGAGGCAAUCUCCAAUGGUUUGGCAUUAAUCACUUCGCGCCAAUUUCCCAAUGCCAAGUGUGAACAGGUUUGGCAUAUAUGCCAAUCCUUCCUCUCUUUUUGCCAAGUUAACAAAAUUGCAAAGUCUAAAUGCCAAACCGUUGGAUAAGUGUUUUUAAGACUUUUUCGCAAAUACAUGAAUGCAAAGCUUAUUUGCAAAACGGUUGGGGAUG
rnacentral:lncRNA from 1 species